CAAAAAUAUUCUCACUCUUUGCCUGUAAGAAGUUCAGGUCCAACCAGCUACAGAUUCUUUUUCAAGGCAGGUAAUCAUGAUCUCCUGGAAGAAGAAGGCAAGAGUGAAAACGAGUCACAUUCUCCACCUCCUGGCUGGUCUCAAGGCAGCCCAACAGCUCUUCCGUGCUGCCACCAGACCCACCCUGGGGCAAUGUGAAGGGGCUACACAAAGCUGUGACUACCAGGAGGUGGAGAUCAUUGGGGGCCAUCUUAGAGGCUGCCAACCACAGACACCAUUUUUUGUUGUGUGAUAAUUAGGAGAACCACUGAAGGGAAAAUUCUGCCCACUACGCUACUCAGAAGUCCCAGCAGAACUGAGCAUCCAUGGUCUAUGGCAGGGACCUCAAUAACACACCUUUAUGUGAACUCCUCCACCUUUCCUAUCUCACCAAGCCUGCUUACUCCUGCUUCCUGGGAUAACCUCUCCAAUAAACUCCUG